GAUGUAAUAUUAUUUAUUUUUUUUUUUCUUUUAGAUAUGUAUUUUAUACUUCUAUAACACACAUAAUAUUUACGUUCAUCAAAAUGGAAUUCUUAUUGUUGGAAGAAAAAUAUAAAAACAUUGUGGUUAAAACUUAAUUCGGAAAUGUUAUUUAUUCAUGUGUGUUUUUUUUUUUUUUUUUUUAAACUUAUAUGUUGUUGUCUAAUUGUUGUAAUUAUGUGUUCAGUUUAUAUUUUGUCUAAAAAAAAAAAAAAAAAAACACGUUAAAAUAUUACUUUAUUUUAAAAAAAUAGCUAUUUUUUUUUGUUCCUUUUUUUUUAUAUUAAAAGGAUAAGUCAAACUAUGAAAAUAUGAUUCUUAAGAGAGAAACAGAAUGCCUACAAAAAAAAAUCAAGGUAAUAUAUAUUUUGUUUUUUUUUUACAUUUAUUACCUAAAUGUUUUUAAAUAAUAUAUCAUUUAAACAGAUAUAUACAUACGCACUUUUUAUUACUUGGUGGUUACGUAGAAUUUAGAAGAUGUUUAUAUCGAAAAAGAAAAUAAAAUUAUGGAAAUAUUAGAAGAGAAAGAAGAUCUUAAAGAUCAUAUAUUCGAAAUAGAAAACGAAAAUUCCAAACUAAGGGAUAAUAUUGCCAAGCUUAAUGAAAGAAUAUUAGUAAACAUAAGAAAUUGUUAAUAUAUAUAUGUAUAUAUGUACAUACAUACAUGUAGACAUGCACACAUACAUGCAUAUUUAAAGGAUUUAACAGAUGUGUGUAAACAUACAGACAUAUGAUUAAAACUAGAAACAAAGAAUUACAACAAAGUGAUAUCUUAAUUAUAGAGAAUAAGAACUUAAGAAAUAUUAUUGAAGAUAUGAAGAACCAUAAAUUAUUAUUAGAAUCGAAGAUCACAAAAAAAAAUAAAAUAAUUGAUGUGAUUAAGGAAAAAUACCAAAAAAAAUAUAUCAAGAAUAUUAGAAAAGUUUAAUGAAAAGGAUAAAUGCAUUAACGAGUUUCGAAGUUAUGUUAUUCACGGUAUGAGAAAAUAAAAGAAAAAAAAAAAAAAAAAUUCA
rnacentral:lncRNA from 1 species